GCCUUUUAGGUGACCUAUAGAAUACUCAAGCUAUGCAUCCAACGCGUUGGGAGCUCUCCCAUAUGGUCGACCUGCAGGCGGCCGCGAAUUCACUAGUGAUUAGAGUUUGAUCAUGGCUCAGAAUGAACGCUGGCGGCGUGCUUAACACAUGCAAGUCGAACGGUAACAGAAAGUAGCUUGCUACUUUGCUGACGAGUGGCGCACGGGUGAGUAAUAUAUAGAUAAUGUGCCUCUUAGUCUGGGAUAGCCAUUGGAAACGAUGAUUAAUACCGGAUACUCCUUCUUAUCAAAAGAUAAGUCGGGAAAGUUUUUCGCUAAGAGAUCGGUCUAUAUCCCAUCAGCUUGUUGGUAGUGUAAGAGACUACCAAGGCGAUGACGGGUAGCGGGUUUGAGAGGAUGAUCCGCCACACUGGUACUGAGACACGGACCAGACUCCUACGGGAGGGAGCAGUGAGGAAUAUUGCACAAUGGGGGAAACCUUGAUGCAGCAACGCCGCGUGGAGGAUGACGCAUUUCGGUGUGUAAACUCUUUUUAUAUGUCAAGAAAAUGACGGUAGCAUAUGAAUAAGCACCGGCUAACUCUGUGCCAGCAGCCGCGGUAAUACGGAGGGUGCAAGCGUUAUUCGGAAUCACUGGGCGUAAAGGACGCGUAGGCGGGUUGGCAAGUCAGAUGUGAAAUCCUACAGCUUAACUGUAGAACUGCAUUUGAAACUGCCGACCUAGAGUAUGGGAGGGGGAGAUGGAAUUAGUGGUGUAGGGGUAAAAUCCGUAGAUAUCACUAGGAAUACCGAAAGCGAAGGCGAUCUCCUGGAACAUAACUGACGCUAAGGCGUGAAAGCGUGGGGAGCAAACAGGAUUAGAUACCCUGGUAGUCCACGCCCUAAACGAUGUUCACUAGUCGUCGCUCUGCUAGUCAGGGCGGUGAUGCACUUAACAGAUUAAGUGAAACCGCCUGGGGAGUACGGUCGCAAGAUUAAAACUCAAAGGAAUAGACGGGGACCUGCACAAGUGGUGGAGCAUGUGGUUUAAUUUCGAAGAUACGCGAAGAAUCUUACUACCCUUGACAUUGAGAGACUUGCAGAGAUUGCUGGUUGUCUUCGGACCUCGAAAACAGUGCCUGAACUGACUGGUCGUUACAGCCUCGUGGAUUG
rnacentral:rRNA from 1 species